CCCCUGUACUUCUACUUAGCGCUGGUGAGGAAUUCCAGAUUUGCUGAGAUCAGAUAGGGCUGUAUAUGGUAAAAUUUAAAUGUUAUCCAUUAAACAUAAAUUAUUUUUUAAUUAUUGCCUACAGUUGCUAACAAAUUCUUUAACCUUGAAAUCUUUUGAAAAGCUUGUCAGUUUCAUAAAGGAGAAAGAGGCUUAUUUCUAAAAUUGAAACCGGAUGUUAGUGGUUUUGUGAGGUUUUUUUUCUCCUCUUCCUGUUUGUCUGGGAGGGUUUUUUUCUGUCGGCCUCUUCGGUGAAACUGGUUCUUAACGUCCGAGUUUAGCUAGCUGGCACCUGCGUCAGUUUUCCAUGUAAACGCGGAAACUGUUAGCCGAGACAUUAAAGAUGGCGGCAGCUUAAGAGCAGUUAUAUUCGUUUGCUGUAAUUUGUGUGGACGGAACCGGUUAUGUUGCCUACCUUAGGGAUACUGCCUGAUAUUGACUGGGUUUUUGGUGUGACGGGGUUCACCAUCCAUGUCAGCGACCAUAAUGUCUUGGGAGUCAUCCGAGUCAAACUCGGUCUCAAACACAUAAGGUUGACACUCUGGUAACUUGAAAGACUCAGGAUCUGUCAAAAAACACUGAUCCAUAUUCAUUUUUAGCAAUGUCAGCCAAUCAGCUCGAUUCAACCUCUGGUGAUGCCAUCAACCCCCCC